AGAAAAUUUACAUUCAUAGUUAUACAUUCUGAGUUACAUAAAAGAAAACUAACAGUCAAGACUAAAAAAGUAGUGGGCGGUAAAGCAACACAAUUUAGAACCAGUAAUAAGUUCAGCAGCGUCAACAUCUUCCAACCAUUAUCAGCAGCAAUGUAGCAUCAGUACUUGCAGUAUUGGACAACCCUAAUACCUCUUCUUUCUGCCAUUCACUUAGUAACCUACAGCCACUGUGUAUUUCUUCUUCCUUGUCACAGUACUAAAACCAAAUAUAUCACAAAGUUCAUCAUAUGGUAAUAUGAAGAUAAGCCAAGCUAUUGGAACCGAUAUGGUGUUACGUCUCAGACAAUAUCAUAAGCUGACAUGGUUGUUUUUAGUU
rnacentral:lncRNA from 1 species